rnacentral:rRNA from 1 species
AGCGAACGCUGGAGGCAGGCUUAACACAUGCAAGUCGAGCGCCCCGCAAGGGGAGCGGCAGACGGGUGAGUAACGCGUGGGAACGUACCCUUUGCUACGGAACAGCUCCGGGAAACUGGAAUUAAUACCGUAUGUGCCCUACGGGGGAAAGAUUUAUCGGCAAAGGAUCGGCCCGCGUUGGAUUAGCUAGUUGGUGGGGUAAUGGCCUACCAAGGCGACGAUCCAUAGCUGGUCUGAGAGGAUGAUCAGCCACAUUGGGACUGAGACACGGCCCAAACUCCUACGGGAGGCAGCAGUGGGGAAUAUUGGACAAUGGGCGCAAGCCUGAUCCAGCCAUGCCGCGUGAGUGAUGAAGGCCUUAGGGUUGUAAAGCUCUUUCACCGGAGAAGAUAAUGACGGUAUCCGGAGAAGAAGCCCCGGCUAACUUCGUGCCAGCAGCCGCCGUAACAC